AGAUUGUAGAUAGUCAAGUUGCGGAGUCACGUGCUAUACUGGAAAAAGGCAACAGAAUUUCAGAUAACGACUAUGAUUACAUCAAUGCAAAAAUAUUGCGACACAUUGCAGAAGCUGAGUUGCGAAUUGAUGCAAAACUAUGAAGACUAGAAUCCAAACUGUCCCAGCUCACAGAUUACUAUUUGCCUAAAACCUGUCGGGAAAUUCAAAAGUCAAAUUUGGACUCUCCUAAUCAAAACAUUUUUAACAUAUCAUUCGCAUCGUUUCCAAGAACGACGGACGUUUCUUGUGACCAAAUAACAGAUGGAGGCGGGUGGAUUGUAUUUCAACGCAGAAUUGAUGGAUCGGAAGAUUUUUAUCGAGGUUGGAAAGACUAUGUUCGUGGAUUUGGAAACAAGGACAGAGAAUUUUGG